rnacentral:rRNA from 1 species
CGGAAUUGCUAGUAAUCGCGAAUCAGCAUGUCGCGGUGAAUACGUUCCCGGGCCUUGUACACACCGCCCGUCAAACCAUGAGAGUUGGGAAUACCCGAAGUCUGUAAUCUAACCGCAAGGAGGAUGCAGCCGAAGGUAGGCUCAAUGAUUGGGGUUAAGUCGUAACAAGGUAUC